rfam:Gossypium raimondii Chr03_contig_6, whole genome shotgun sequence.
UAUUAAAAUUUCUAUCCAUUUCUACAGUUAAAAACUGACGUGAUUAUCAGAAUAACUAAAUAGUUACAUAUGACGUGCUACCUAUACCUCAUGCUCGUACAUGGACCGAUUUUUAAUAGUAGAAAUUAAUGGAAUUUUUAACA